GAUCCUGGCUCAGGAUGAACGCUAGCGGCAGGCCUAACACAUGCAAGUCGAGGGAGAGGUUACCUUCGGGUAACCAAAACCGGCGCACGGGUGCGUAACGCGUAUACAAUCUGCCUUUCACAUAGGGAUAGCCCGAAGAAAUUUGGAUUAAUACCUAAUGGUAUAUAGGAGCGGCAUCGUUUUUAUAUUAAAGCUACGGUGGUGAAAGAUGAGUAUGCGUUCUAUUAGCUAGUUGGAGAGGUAACGGCUCCCCAAGGCGACGAUAGAUAGGGGUUCUGAGAGGGAUGUCCCCCACACUGGUACUGAGAUACGGACCAGACUCCUACGGGAGGCAGCAGUGAGGAAUAUUGGACAAUGGUCGGAAGACUGAUCCAGCCAUGCCGCGUGCAGGAUGAAGGUCUUAUGGAUUGUAAACUGCUUUUGCAGGGGAAGAAUAAGGACUACGUGUAGUUUGAUGACGGUACUCUGCGAAUAAGCAUCGGCUAACUCCGUGCCAGCAGCCGCGGUAAUACGGAGGAUGCGAGCGUUAUCCGGAAUCAUUGGGUUUAAAGGGUCCGUAGGCGGGCUAAUAAGUCAGAGGUGAAAGCGCUCAGCUCAACUGAGCAACUGCCUUUGAAACUGUUAGUCUUGAAUGGUUGUGAAGUAGUUGGAAUGUGUAGUGUAGCGGUGAAAUGCUUAGAUAUUACACAGAACACCGAUAGCGAAGGCAUAUUACUAACAAUUAAUUGACGCUGAUGGACGAAAGCGUGGGGAGCGAACAGGAUUAGAUACCCUGGUAGUCCACGCUGUAAACGAUGGAUACUAGCUG
rnacentral:rRNA from 1 species